rnacentral:tRNA from 1 species
UGUAGCUCAGUGGUAGAGCACUUGCCCAGCAUGCAUGAGGUCCUGGGUUUAAUCCCAGUA